rnacentral:tRNA from 1 species
GGAGGGUUGGCCGAGCGGCUUAAGGCGCACGCUUGGAAAGCGUGUGGGAGAAAUCCCUCACAGGUUCGAAUCCUGUACCCUCCGCCA